AUUGAACGCUGGCGGCAGGCCUAACACAUGCAAGUCGAACGAGUGGCGGACGGGUGAGUAAUGUCUGGGAAACUGCCUGAUGGAGGGGGAUAACUAAUGGAAACGGUAGCUAAUACCGCAUACCAUCAGAUGUGCCCAGAUGGGAUGAGGUAGUAGGUGAGGUAACGCCUCACCUAGGCGACGAUCCCUAGCAGGUCUGAGAGGAUGACCAGCCACACGGGAGCUGAGACCCGGUCCCGACUCCUACGGGAGGCAGCGGUGGGGAAUAUUGCACAAUGCGCGCCAGCCUGAUGCAGCCCUGCCGCGUGUAUGAGGAAGGCCUUCGGGUUGUAAAGUACUUACCGCGGGGGUGCGUUACCCGCAGAAGAAGCACCGGCUAACUCCGUGCCAGCCGCCGCGGUAAUAC
rnacentral:rRNA from 1 species